rnacentral:rRNA from 1 species
AGAGUUUGAUCCUGGCUCAGAUUGAACGCUGGCGGUAUGCUUAACACAUGCAAGUCGAACGGCAUCGGAAUAGUAGCUUGCUACUAUAGCCGGCGAGUGGCGGACGGGUGAGUAAAGCGUAGGGAUCUGCCUUAGAGCGGGGGAUAACUUGAGGAAACUUAAGCUAAUACCGCAUAAUGUCCGAGGACCAAAGCGAGGGA